GGAUGAAUGCUGGCGGCGUGCCUAACACAUGCAAGUCGAGCGGCAGCGAGGGGUGCUUGCACCCUGUCGGCGAGCGGCGGACGGCUGAGUAACGCGUGGGAAUCUACCCUAAAGUGAGGGAUAACCGCCCGAAAGGGUGGCUAAUACCGCAUAUGAUCUUCGGAUUAAAGGAUUUAUCCGCUUUAGGAAGAGCCCGCGUUAGAUUAGGUAGUUGGUAGGGUAAUGGCCUACCAAGCCAACGAUCUAUAGCUGGUCUGAGAGGAUGAUCAGCCAGACUGGAACUGAGACACGGUUCAGACUCCUACGGGAGGCAGCAGUGAGGAAUCUUCCACAAUGGGCGAAAGCCUGAUGGAGCAACGCCGCGUGAAGGAUGAAGGCCUUCGGGUUGUAAACUUCUUUUAUGAGUGAAGAAUAUGACGGUAACUCAUGAAUAAGCACCGGCUAACUACGUGCCAGCAGCCGCGGUCAUACGUAGGGUGCAAGCAUUAUCCGGAGUGACUGGGCGUAAAGAGUUGCGUAGGCGGUUUAGUAAGUGAAUAGUGAAACCUGGUGGCUCAACCAUACAGACUAUUAUUCAAACUGUUAAACUCGAGAGUGGUAGAGGUAACUGGAAUUUCUAGUGUAGGAGUGAAAUCCGUAGAUAUUAGAAGGAACACCAAUGGCGUAGGCAGGUUACUGGACCAUUUCUGACGCUAAGGUACGAAAGCGUGGGGAGCAAACUGGAUUAGAUACCCAGGUAGUCCACGCCGUAAACGAUGGAUACUAGCUGUUGGAGGUAUCGACCCCUUCAGUAGCGAAGCUAACGCGUUAAGUAUCCCGCCUGUG
rnacentral:rRNA from 1 species